UACCUGGUUGAUCCUGCCAGUAGUCAUAUGCUUGUCUCAAAGAUUAAGCCAUGCAUGUGUAAGAAUGAACUAUUUCAGACUGUGAAA
rnacentral:rRNA from 1 species